rnacentral:rRNA from 1 species
GACGAACGCUGGCGGCGUGCCUAAUACAUGCAAGUAGAACGCUGAAGAGAGGAGCUUGCUCUUCUUGGAUGAGUUGCGAACGGGUGAGUAACGCGUAGGUAACCUGCCUGGUAGCGGGGGAUAACUAUUGGAAACGAUAGCUAAUACCGCAUGAAAUUGCUUAUCGCAUGAUAAUUAAUUGAAAGAUGCAAUUGCAUCACUACCAGAUGGACCUGCGUUGUAUUAGCUAGCUGGUGAGGUAACGGCUCACCAAGGCGACGAUACAUAGCCGACCUGAGAGGGUGAUCGGCCACACUGGGACUGAGACACGGCCCAGACUCCUACGGGAGGCAGCAGUAGGGAAUCUUCGGCAAUGGGGGGAACCCUGACCGAGCAACGCCGCGUGAGUGAAGAAGGUUUUCGGAUCGUAAAGCUCUGUUGUUAAGGAAGAACGAGUGUGAGAAUGGAAAGUUCAUACUGUGACGGACUAACCAGAA